CUCAGGACGAACGCUGGCGGCGUGCUUAACACAUGCAAGUCGAACGAUGAUGCCCAGCUUGCUGGGUGGAUUAGUGGCGAACGGGUGAGUAACACGUGAGUAACCUGCCCCUGACUCUGGGAUAAGCGUUGGAAACGACGUCUAAUACUGGAUAUGACUGCCGGCCGCAUGGUCUGGUGGUGGAAAGAUUUUUUGGUUGGGGAUGGACUCGCGGCCUAUCAGCUUGUUGGUGAGGUAAUGGCUCACCAAGGCGACGACGGGUAGCCGGCCUGAGAGGGUGACCGGCCACACUGGGACUGAGACACGGCCCAGACUCCUACGGGAGGCAGCAGUGGGGAAUAUUGCACAAUGGGCGAAAGCCUGAUGCAGCAACGCCGCGUGAGGGAUGACGGCCUUCGGGUUGUAAACCUCUUUUAGUAGGGAAGAAGCGAAAGUGACGGUACCUGCAGAAAAAGCACCGGCUAACUACGUGCCAGCAGCCGCGGUAAUACGUAGGGUGCAAGCGUUGUCCGGAAUUAUUGGGCGUAAAGAGCUCGUAGGCGGUUUGUCGCGUCUGCUGUGAAAUCCCGAGGCUCAACCUCGGGCUUGCAGUGGGUACGGGCAGACUAGAGUGCGGUAGGGGAGAUUGGAAUUCCUGGUGUAGCGGUGGAAUGCGCAGAUAUCAGGAGGAACACCGAUGGCGAAGGCAG
rnacentral:rRNA from 1 species